rnacentral:tRNA from 1 species
UAAUUAGAAACAAAAAUUGUAAUUAGUUUCGACCUAAUUUUUAGUAAUCUAAAUUUACUCUAAUUAA